rnacentral:rRNA from 1 species
UACGUAGGGGGCUAGCGUUGUCCGGAUUUAUUGGGCGUAAAGGGCGCGUAGGCGGUCGUGACAAGUCACUUGUGAAAUCUCCGGGCUUAACUCGGAACGGUCAAGUGAUACUGUCGGACUAGAGUACAGAAGGGGCAACUGGAAUUCUCGGUGUAGCGGUGAAAUGCGUAGAUAUCGAGAGGAACACCUGCGGCGAAGGCGGGUUGCUGGGCUGAUACUGACGCUGAGGCGCGAAAGCCAGGGGAGCGAACGGG